CGGGACACGUGGUAUCCUGUCUGAAUAUGGGGGGACCAUCCUCCAAGGCUAAAUACUCCUGACUGACCGAUAGUGAACCAGUACCGUGAGGGAAAGGCGAAAAGAACCCCGGCGAGGGGAGUGAAAAAGAACCUGAAACCGUGUACGUACAAGCAGUGGGAGCACGCUUAGGCGUGUGACUGCGUACCUUUUGUAUAAUGGGUCAGCGACUUAUAUUCUGUAGCAAGGUUAACCGAAUAGGGGAGCCGAAGGGAAACCGAGUCUUAACUGGGCGUUAAGUUGCAGGGUAUAGACCCGAAACCCGGUGAUCUAGCCAUGGGCAGGUUGAAGGUUGGGUAACACUAACUGGAGGACCGAACCGACUAAUGUUGAAAAAUUAGCGGAUGACUUGUGGCUGGGGGUGAAAGGCCAAUCAAACCGGGAGAUAGCUGGUUCUCCCCGAAAGCUAUUUAGGUAGCGCCUCGUGAAUUCAUCUCCGGGGGUAGAGCACUGUUUCGGCAAGGGGGUCAUCCCGACUUACCAACCCGAUGCAAACUGCGAAUACCGGAGAAUGUUAUCACGGGAGACACACGGCGGGUGCUAACGUCCGUCGUGAAGAGGGAAACAACCCAGACCGCCAGCUAAGGUCCCAAAGUCAUGGUUAAGUGGGAAACGAUGUGGGAAGGCCCAGACAGCCAGGAUGUUGGCUUAGAAGCAGCCAUCAUUUAAAGAAAGCGUAAUAGCUCACUGGUCGAGUCGGCCUGCGCGGAAGAUGUAACGGGGCUAAACCAUGCACCGAAGCUGCGGCAGCGACGCUGAUGCGUUGUUGGGUAGGGGAGCGUUCUGUAAGCCUGUGAAGGUGUGCUGUGAGGCAUGCUGGAGGUAUCAGAAGUGCGAAUGCUGACAUAAGUAACGAUAAAGCGGGUGAAAAGCCCGCUCGCCGGAAGACCAAGGGUUCCUGUCCAACGUUAAUCGGGGCAGGGUGAGUCGACCCCUAAGGCGAGGCCGAAAGGCGUAGUCGAUGGGAAACAGGUUAAUAUUCCUGUACUUGGUGUUACUGCGAAGGGGGGACGGAGAAGGCUAUGUUGGCCGGGCGACGGUUGUCCCGGUUUAAGCGUGUAGGCUGGUUUUCCAGGCAAAUCCGGAAAAUCAAGGCUGAGGCGUGAUGACGAGGCACUACGGUGCUGAAGCAACAAAUGCCCUGCUUCCAGGAAAAGCCUCUAAGCAUCAGGUAACAUCAAAUCGUACCCCAAACCGACACAGGUGGUCAGGUAGAGAAUACCAAGGCGCUUGAGAGAACUCGGGUGAAGGAACUAGGCAAAAUGGUGCCGUAACUUCGGGAGAAGGCACGCUGAUAUGUAGGUGAAGCGACUUGCUCGUGGAGCUGAAAUCAGUCGAAGAUACCAGCUGGCUGCAACUGUUUAUUAAAAACACAGCACUGUGCAAACACGAAAGUGGACGUAUACGGUGUGACGCCUGCCCGGUGCCGGAAGGUUAAUUGAUGGGGUCAGCGCAAGCGAAGCUCUUGAUCGAAGCCCCGGUAAACGGCGGCCGUAACUAUAACGGUCCUAAGGUAGCGAAAUUCCUUGUCGGGUAAGUUCCGACCUGCACGAAUGGCGUAAUGAUGGCCAGGCUGUCUCCACCCGAGACUCAGUGAAAUUGAACUCGCUGUGAAGAUGCAGUGUACCCGCGGCAAGACGGAAAGACCCCGUGAACCUUUACUAUAGCUUGACACUGAACAUUGAGCCUUGAUGUGUAGGAUAGGUGGGAGGCUUUGAAGUGUGGACGCCAGUCUGCAUGGAGCCGGCCUUGAAAUACCACCCUUUAAUGUUUGAUGUUCUAACGUUGACCCGUGAUCCGGGUUGCGGACAGUGUCUGGUGGGUAGUUUGACUGGGGCGGUCUCCUCCUAAAGAGUAACGGAGGAGCACGAAGGUUGGCUAAUCCUGGUCGGACAUCAGGAGGUUAGUGCAAUGGCAUAAGCCAGCUUGACUGCGAGCGUGACGGCGCGAGCAGGUGCGAAAGCAGGUCAUAGUGAUCCGGUGGUUCUGAAUGGAAGGGCCAUCGCUCAACGGAUAAAAGGUACUCCGGGGAUAACAGGCUGAUACCGCCCAAGAGUUCAUAUCGACGGCGGUGUUUGGCACCUCGAUGUCGGCUCAUCACAUCCUGGGGCUGAAGUAGGUCCCAAGGGUAUGGCUGUUCGCCAUUUAAAGUGGUACGCGAGCUGGGUUUAGAACGUCGUGAGACAGUUCGGUCCCUAUCUGCCGUGGGCGCUGGAGAACUGAGGGGGGCUGCUCCUAGUACGAGAGGACCGGAGUGGACGCAUCACUGGUGUUCGGGUUGUCAUGCCAAUGGCACU
rnacentral:rRNA from 1 species